AGUGAACGCUGGCGGUAGGCCUAACACAUGCAAGUCGAACGGCAGCACAGUAAGAGCUUGCUCUUACGGGUGGCGAGUGGCGGACGGGUGAGGAAUACAUCGGAAUCUACUUUUUCGUGGGGGAUAACGUAGGGAAACUUACGCUAAUACCGCAUACGACCUACGGGUGAAAGCAGGGGAUCCUCGGACCUUGCGCGAUUGAAUGAGCCGAUGUCGGAUUAGCUAGUUGGCGGGGUAAAGGCCCACCAAGGCGACGAUCCGUAGCUGGUCUGAGAGGAUGAUCAGCCACACUGGAACUGAGACACGGUCCAGACUCCUACGGGAGGCAGCAGUGGGGAAUAUUGGACAAUGGGCGCAAGCCUGAUCCAGCCAUACCGCGUGGGUGAAGAAGGCCUUCGGGUUGUAAGGCCCUUUUGUUGGGAAAGAAAAGCAGCAGGUUAAUACCCCGCUGUUCUGACGGUACCCAAAGAAUAAGCACCGGCUAACUUCGUG
rnacentral:rRNA from 1 species